AAGCCCCACGCAUCAGCCCCCUUCGUUUCUUUCUUCAUUUCUCUUCUAUUCUUUCUUCUUCCUUGUUCUUCUAUUCGAACGAGGUAGAGACAUUGAGAGUGAGAGAGACUGAGAGAUGAUGAGAGAGUGAGUUGAGAGCUGAGAGAUGAAACCGAGAGAUUGAGGGAGAUCGGAGGAAGGAGAGACCCGAUCGUGGAGGACCCGACCAGUGGGUCGACGGCGGCGGUUCCAGUGGUGAUUCCGGCGAAGCAAAGCCGAAAUCCGACGGCUUGAAGGCCGAUUCCUGGCGGGCCAUGUGUUUUCUGGCCAAACCUCGAAGACCCAUGACCCAUAACCGUGCUACCCGUAACCCGAGAGGACCCGAACCCCCAUCUUCGGUGGCUGGUCCUUCAUGCACGAUUUUCCGGUGACUUUUCCGGCGGCCUAGGAUGCUGUUCUGGUGGUUUUUAAACUCAAAAGCUAUAGAUGAUGAGUUGAGAGAUUGUACAAAAAGGACUGUGAGUAUUUCUUACUCACUGAGGAUGAUACGUGUGGUUUAGUCUUUAAUGACUAGUGAUCUCUGCUUUAUUUGAUUGUAUGCUAUUUGAUGUUUGACAUUUAUUAUGUGUAACAUGUUUUGGUUGGUUAUGUAUAUGAUGUUGUUGGCAUGAUUAUAUGAUGGUGUGAUGUGAGUCUGUUAAUAAAAAGACUGAGGUUUAUGUACCAAGGCAUCAAAUUAUUGAUAAGACUGACGGAUGAACCAAAGGUUGAAGGAUAAAUAGAGAAAAACAGUUAUAGAGGUAAAGCCCAGUAUUAGCGAAGAA